ensembl:lncRNA
CAAUUUUAAGAUUGUGCAAUCCAUGCAUUUUUAGGUGUCUUUCAUAUUGCCUGUUUAAAUCUCCGGUUUAGAUUGAGCGGAAUUAAACACCAACCGUUUUUGGUAAACACAUUUUUGGGCCUUCAAAUCUUGGCCAAGUGACCAGCAUCUUACACAACCUGAGCAGAUACUUUUUGUAUUGAGGACAGACCGGUGAUGAUACAGAGUACAUUACCAUAAUGGAUUCAGUUACAGACACCCUAUCUUGUGGCUGCACAGCGUGAGGGGAUUGUUGUUUCAUUGUUUUCUUUCAUGCUUGAAAGGUAAUAUCGUCAACUCAUCAAAAUACUUUGAUUGUUAGAGCUUCAGACUUUGUACACAGGCCUGGUGAUUGACUGCAGAUUGAGUUGAUUGGUGAAUCUCUGAUAGACCCCGUACAUGUGACCAUGAGAGCGGAUGAAUGUAAUGAACGCACGUUUGGUAAUUUGCUUGAAAGUGUUAUGCAGAGUAAUGCUGAGAUUAAGAUUGAUGAAUCACUAGAGCUGGUGGUACAAAUUGUCAAAAACCGCGAGGGUGGUGCCCCACGACGUAAAGCACAAACACUGUUGAUAGAGUAGAUUAUCACUUAAAAAAGAAGGCAUUUAUAUGUGGCUGUGAAUAAUGAUUCUACAUGUUUUUCCAUUUGUUUGAUGGGUAUGUUGAACC